rnacentral:rRNA from 1 species
CGUGUAGGCGGUUUGGCAAGUCAGAUGUGAAAGCCCUGGGCUCAACCCAGGAAGUGCAUUUGAAACUGCCAUCCUUGAGUAUGGGAGAGGAGAGUGGAAUUCCCAAUGUAGAGGUGAAAUUCGUAGAUAUUGGGAGGAACACCCGUGGCGAAGGCGACUCUCUGGACCAAUACUGACGCUGAGACGCGAAAGCGUGGGGGGCAAACA